GAUGAACGCUGGCGGCGUGCCUAAUACAUGCAAGUCGAGCGAACGGACGAGAAGCUUGCUUCUCUGAUGUUAGCGGCGGACGGGGGAGUAACACGUGGAUAACCUACCUAUAAGACUGGGAUAACUUCGGGAAACCGGAGCUAAUACCGGAUAAUAUUUUGAACCGCAUGGUUCAAAAGUAAAAGACGGUCUUGCUGUCACUUAUAGAUGGAUCCGCGCUGCAUUAGCUAGUUGGUAAGGUAACGGCUUACCAAGGCAACGAUGCAUAGCCGACCUGAGAGGGUGAUCGGCCACACUGGAACUGAGACACGGUCCAGACUCCUACGGGAGGCAGCAGUAGGGAAUCUUCCGCAAUGGGCGAAAGCCUGACGGAGCAACGCCGCGUGAGUGAUGAAGGUCUUCGGAUCGUAAAACUCUGUUAUUAGGGAAGAACAUAUGUGUAAGUAACUGUGCACAUCUUGACGGUACCUAAUCAGAAAGCCACGGCUAACUACGUG
rnacentral:rRNA from 1 species